rnacentral:rRNA from 1 species
AUACGGAGGGUGCAAGCGUUGUUCGGAAUCAUUGGGCGUAAAGCGGGCGUAGGCGGCAAGGCAAGUCGGGUGUGAAAGCCCAGGGCCCAACCCUGGAACUGCACUCGAAACUGCUUAGCUAGAGUCUCGGAGAGGGUGGCGGAAUUCCCGGUGUAGAGGUGAAAUUCGUAGAUAUUGGGAAGAACACCAGUGGCGAAGGCGGCUAUCUGGCUCGGUACUGACGCUGAGGCGCGAAAGCGUGGGGAGCAAACAGAAUUAGAAACCCCGGUAGUCC